rnacentral:rRNA from 1 species
UCAUGGAAUAAAUAAAAGUCGAAAAAUACGAACUACAGUUUAAAACUUAAAGAUUUUGGCGGUGUCUUAUCGAACCAGGGGAACCUGUCUCAUAACUCGAUAAUCCACGAACCUCUUACCUUUUCUGGCCAACCAGCUUGUGUACUGCCGUCGUAAGCACACCUCUAAAAGAAUGAGUAUGCAAUUAUGAGUCUCUCAUUUACGUCAGGUCAAAGUGCAGCUCAUGGAAAGGUGAUGAUGGGUUACACCCUAAACAUAGAUACGGAAUAUGACAUUAAAAGUCAUAUGAAGGAGGACUUGGACGUAACAGUGACCUAAUUUCACAAUGAAGCCGAAUCUAAGACAUGCACACAUCGCCCGUCACUCUCGCCUAAAGGCG